rnacentral:rRNA from 1 species
UACAGAGGUCUCAACCGUUGUUCGGAUUCAUUGGGCGUAAAGGGUGCGUAGGCGGUCGCGCAAGUCGGAUGUGAAAUCUCAGGGCUCAACCCUGAAACUGCAUUCGAUACUGCGGUGCUUGAGGACUGGAGAGGAGACUGGAAUUCAUGGUGUAGCAGUGAAAUGCGUAGAGAUCAUGAGGAAGACCAGUGGCGAAGGCGGGUCUCUGGACAGUUCCUGACACUGAGACACGAAGGCCAGGGGAGCAAACGGG